rnacentral:rRNA from 1 species
GAUGAACGCUAGCGGCAGGCUUAACACAUGCAAGUCGAGGGGCAUCGCGGUAGCAAUACUGGCGGCGACCGGCAAACGGGUGCGGAACACGUACAGAACCUACCUUGAUCUGGGGCAUAGCCCGGAGAAAUCCGGAUUAACUCCCCAUAAGAUAAUAGAGUGGCAUCACUCAGUUAUUAAAAAUUUAUUGGAUCGAGAUGGCUGUGCGUCCCAUUAGCUAGUUGGUAGGGUAACGGCCUACCAAGGCGACGAUGGGUAGCUGGUGUGAGA